CAGCCGCCGCGGUAAUACGGAGGAUCCAAGCGUUAUCCGGAUUUAUUGGGUUUAAAGGGUGCGUAGGUGGCCUGUUAAGUCAGGGGUGAAAGACGGUAGCUUAACUAUCGCAGUGCCCUUGAUACUGAUGGGCUUGAAUGAACUAGAGGUAGGCGGAAUGUGACAAGUAGCGGUGAAAUGCAUAGAUAUGUCACAGAACACCAAUUGCGAAGGCAGCUUACUAUGGUUUUAUUGACACUGAGGCACGAAAGCGUGGGGGUCAAACAGGAUUAGAUACCCCCGUAGUCCCUGUCUCUUAUAC
rnacentral:rRNA from 1 species